rnacentral:lncRNA from 1 species
CCCCUCUGAAUUGGGAAUGGCUGGCAUAGGAGCAGCCCCAGGAGGGUAAGGUCAGGACCACGCAGAUGUGACUGCUGCUCUGCUUGCCCCGCAGUGAUAAGGGCACAGCUGUGGGAAAGCCAGAGCAUCUGCUGUGAGUCACCAAGUGCAAACAGGAUGAUAACAGAGUUAGGCUCAGAAAAAAACAUCCCUUCGGAGACACAGAAGGCAGCACACCACAGAACACUGGCUCCUUUCUACAGAAAAAGGAAACCAAGCAAAGUUCCUUCAGCAAGGCAACAAGAAGCCAGUGAAGACUACGAAUGAAAAAUGAUUUGAUCAUAUUUUCCAUUUAUAAGGAGACAACGUUCUAAAGGUUCAAGGCAUUAGCUGCUAGAAGUGAAGAACAUUGAGCAGUGCGUAGAAUACUACGUCAACCAAGCAAAGGCCAUUCUCUUGCCUCAUACACUUUGCUUCUCUUUGACAACAGCGG